rnacentral:rRNA from 1 species
GAGUUUGAUCGUGGCUCAGAUUGAACGCUGGCGGCAUGCCUUACACAUGCAAGUCGAACGGCAGCAUGAUCUAGCUUGCUAGAUUGAUGGCGAGUGGCGAACGGGUGAGUAAUACAUCGGAACGUGCCCUGUAGUGGGGAUAACUAGUCGAAAGAUUAGCUAAUACCGCAUACGACCUGAGGGUGAAAGUGGGGGACCGCAAGGCCUCAUGCUAUAGGAGCGGCCGAUGUCUGAUUAGCUAGUUGGUGGGGUAAAGGCCCACCAAGGCGACGAUCAGUAGCUGGUCUGAGAGGACGAUCAGCCACACUGGGACUGAGACACGGCCCAGACUCCUACAGGAGGCAGCAGUGGGGAAUUUUGGACAAUGGGCGAAAGCCUGAUCCAGCAAUGCCGCGUGUGUGAAGAAGGCCUUCGGUU